UACGUAGGUGGCAAGCGUUAUCCGGAUUUACUGGGUGUAAAGGGCGUGUAGGCGGGACUGCAAGUCAGAUGUGAAAUUCCAGGGCUCAACCUUGGAACUGCAUUUGAAACUGUAGUUCUUGAGUGAUGGAGAGGCAGGCGGAGUUCCGUGUGUAGCGGUGAAAUGCGUAGAUAUACGGAGGAACACCAGUGGCGAAGGCGGCCUGCUGGACAUUAACUGACGCUGAGGCGCGAAAGCGUGGGGAGCAAACAGG
rnacentral:rRNA from 1 species